AUAUUUGUCGCAAGUUUUGGUUUCCGAAAGGUUUUUCCUUCGGAAUUAAAAGGGAAUCAGGUGGAAAUCCUGAACAGUUCCCGCUGCUGUAAACUUUGUUAAAGCGAUUGACAUCCUCGCCACUGUCCUUAAUGGAUGGGAAGGCCGUCAAAAGUAAAGUGAGUCAGAAGACCUGCCAGAAUCUGUACAUUCGU
rnacentral:ncRNA from 1 species